rnacentral:rRNA from 1 species
AAUCAACGCUGGCGGCGUGCCUAACACAUGCAAGUCGAACGCGAAAGCCCCGCAAGGGGUAAGUAGAGUGGCAAACGGGUGAGUAACACGUGGGUGACCUGCCUUAGAGUGGGGGAUAACGUCCCGAAAGGGACGCUAAUACCGCAUAACAUCCUGCCUUUGAAGAGGUGGAGAUCAAAGCCGGGGACCGCAAGGCCUGGCGCUCAAAGAGGGGCCCGCGCCUGAUUAGCUAGUUGGUGAGGAAUGGCUCACCAAGGCAACGAUCAGUAUCCGGCCUGGGAGGGCGGACGGACACACUGGGACUGAGACACGGCCCAGACUCCUACGGGAGGCAGCAGUGGGGAAUUGUUCGCAAUGGGCGCAAGCCUGACGACGCAACGCCGCGUGGAGGAUGAAAGACC